UACAUGUGGGGCAAGCGUUGUUCGGAAUUACUGGGCAUAAAGGGUGCGUAGGUGGCUUGUUAAGUCAGGGGUGAAAGUUUUCGGCCCAACCGGAAAAUGGCCUUUGAUACUGGCGAGCUCGAGUGCGUGAGGGGUAACCGGAACGAGCAGUGUAGCGGUGAAAUGCGUAGAUAUUGCUCGGAAGGCCACCGGCGAAGGCAGGUUACUGGUGCGCAACUGACACUGAGGCACGAAAGCGUGGGGAGCAAACAGG
rnacentral:rRNA from 1 species